rnacentral:misc_RNA from 1 species
GAUGAAGAACGCAGCGAAAUGCGAUAAGUAAUGUGAAUUGCAGAAUUCCGUGAAUCAUCGAAUCUUUGAACGCACAUUGCGUCCUCUGGUAAGCCGGGGGGCAUGCCUGUCCGAGCGUCAUUUGCAACCCUCAAGCCCGGCUUGUGUGAUGGGUGCCGUCCCCUACGGGACGCGCCCCGAAGGCAAUGGCGGCGUCGCGGUUAUCCGAUCAGCCAAAGUGUAUGGGGCUUUGUCACUCACUUUACGGCCCGGACCGGCGCCAGUCCGAAUCAAUCUUUUUUCUAAAGUUGACCUCGGAUCAGGUAGGGAUACCCGCUGAACUUAAGCAUAUCAAUAAGCGGAGGA